UGUUCAAAUCAAUUCACCAUAUAUUGUAAUAUUUAAAAAAAGAAAAAAAGAUUUCCAAAUUUCCAAAUAAAAAAAUGGUAAGACGACAAGUGCAGCGUCAGGCAUGACAACAUGCAACCAAUUACACGCUCAGUCAACGAAAACUGAUUAAAUUGAGCCUAAGCAAAGUCAGUGAUUACACUCAAAUUCACAUAAAGCGAGCAAGGAAAGACAACAAAUUCACAAGCGCCUCCUUUCUCUCGAUAGUUCCAGCCAUGUCCACCAACACUGCACACAUCCUAGUCUAUCCUUUCCCGGCUCCAGGCCAUAUUAUCCCACUCCUCGACCUUACCCAUCUGUUACUCACUCACGGCCUAUCCAUAACCCUAUUGAUUACUCCAAACAACCAGCCUUUGCUACACUCAUUCCUGUGUUCCCACACUUCCUCUCACCUCCAACACUUGGUCCUUCCAGACCCUCCAAGGAUCCGCCUGCUUGCUUGCAUGCGCUCCUUGCGCCAACAACACUAUCCUAUCCUUCUAAACUGGUUCCAAUCUCACCCGUCCCCUCCCUUUGCUAUUAUAUCUGACUUUUUCCUCGGCUGGACCCACCAAUUGGCUUGCCAGCUUGCCAUUCCCCGCCUCGUCUUCUCCCCCUCUGGUGCGUUUGCCUUUUCUGUUACCACUUCACUGUGGCGCAACCAGCCGCAGACUGAGAAUCCAAACAACGUGGAUUUUAUGGUGUCUUUUCCUGAAAUACCGAAUUCUCCAACGUACCCCUGGUGGCAAAUCUCUCACAUCUAUAGGACGUCAAAGGAGGGAGAUCCUGAUCGAGAAUUUUUCAGAGACUGCUUUCUGGCUAAUUUUGAGAGUUGGGGAGUCGUGAUCAACUCGUUCGUUGAGUUGGAACGCGUUCACAUCGAGCAUUUGAAAGGGAACUCUGGAAUUGGAAGCGAUCGUGUGUGGUCUGUGGGUCCACUUCUGCUACAUGACGAUGGUGGAUCAAUAGGGUCGCUUAGCCGUGGUGGAUCUAGCUCGGUGCCGCGUCAGCAAGUGAUAACUUGGCUCGAGGAGAAGGGAGAUAAUUCAGUGGUAUAUAUAUGCUUCGGGAGUCGCGAGAUGCUAACAUGUAAACAAAUGGACGAGUUGGCAUCUGGGUUAGAGAAAAGUGGAAUAAAUUUCAUCUGGUCUGUCAGGCAGCCAAAUGAAAGGCACGCAUCAGCCGAGUGUGGGGUUCUACCUGAUGGAUUCGAAGAUCGUGUGGCUGGGAGAGGUUUUAUCAUCAAGGGAUGGGCCCCCCAAGUGGCUAUACUGAGGAAUCGGGCGGUGGGCGUUUUUGACCCAUUGCGGGUGGAACUCGGUGCUUGAAGGGAUCGCAUCCGGAGUGGUAAUGCUGACAUGGCCAAUGGGUGCGGACCAGUUCAUAAACGCGGAGUUACUAGUGGAUCAGUUGGGAGUUGGAAUACGAGUUGGUGAGGACACGCAGAAAAUUCUAGACUCAGACGAGUUGGCUCGGAUAUUAGCUGAGUCUGUAGCGGAGAAUCUCCUGGAGAGACAGAGAUCCAAGAAGAUAAAAGAGGCAGCAUUGACUGCAGUUAAAGGGGGGAGCUCUGAUAGAGACUUGGAUGAGUUGGUAAAGAGGUUAAUUGAGCUUGGAAACGGGAGAGGUGUAAGCAAGUGACCUGAUUGGGUGGUGGCUGAAUUCUGUUUACGCUGCAAAAAUUUAAAUGUGUGCAGUUGAAACUCCCUGAAAGAGUUCAGAAUUUUUGCAAAGUUUUGUGCAAAAAUAUACUGGUCAAGUGUUGAGAACAUGAUACAAAUAUAUGAUUUCAUCUCCAUUGCCAUGUGCAUAGAAAUUCCAAAUUGAAGUGUAUGCAUGGGAGUAGGAAGAUGAAUGAAUGGCCAAACUUCAUCAUCGACGGUCACUAGAUGCAAGUAGUUUUUGUAAUUAAAGUUAUGAUGCUAUAUAUUAAAGCUGAUUCUGGGGUAUAAAUUCUGUUGAUAUUGUUCCAUGAUGUUUGUAUUAUACUGCUUGUUAAGUCAGAAUUAUAUCCAUUGAAAU
rnacentral:misc_RNA from 1 species